rnacentral:rRNA from 1 species
CCUUUGUACACACCGCCCGUCGCUACUACCGAUUGAAUGGUUUAGUGAGGCAUUGGGAGAGUUUGAUAAUGGGGGCGACCCCGUUUGAGUACUUGAACUUUGUCAAACUUGAUUAUUUAGAGG